rnacentral:lncRNA from 1 species
UCGGCUGGUUAGUCGGUGCCUCUUCAGUCGGCUGGGGGCGUCGAUCGGCAAUCGGUUGGGUCGGCGGACCCUUCCGGAAUUUGUCGAGGUACCCCCGGCGGAUGAGAUUUUCGAUCUCAUCCUUCAACUGGAUGCACCGCUCGGUGUCGUGGCCGUGGCUCCGAUGGAACCGACAGUACUUCCGACGGUCGAGGCCCUUUGCCUUCAGAGGCGGAGGCCGUCGCAGGUAUUCCUCUCCCUCGAUCUCCAUCAGGAUCUGCGCACGGGGAGCGGAGAGAGGAGUGUAGGAGUCAUACCUGGGACG